rnacentral:rRNA from 1 species
GAUGAACGCUGGCGGCGUGCUUAAUACAUGCAAGUCGAACGGAAAGGCGAUUUCGGGGGUCCACGAGCGGCGAACGGGUGCGUAACACGAAGGCGAUCUGCACUGCACUAUGGGAUAAGCAUGGGAAACUGGGACUAAUACCGGAUAGGACUACGCGAUGCAUGUCGUGUGGUGGAUAGCUAUGGCGGUGUGAGAUGGGCCCGCGGGCUAUCAGCUCGUCGGAGGAGUGAGGGCCUACGAAGACGACGACGGGUAGCCCACCUGAGAGGUGGACCGGGCACCCUGCUACUGCGAGACGGCGCAGUCGGCUACGUGACGCAGCAGGGGGGAGUAUUGCACAAUGGGGGCGAGCCAGAUGCAGCGACGCCGCGUGGGUGAUGACGUCCUUCGGGGUGUGAACCAAUGUCAGCGCAGACGUAGCGGAAUUGACGGUAUGUGCAGAGAAAGCACCGGCCAACUACGUG